rnacentral:piRNA from 1 species
UGAAAGAAGAACCCACCAUGUUCUCAGCCU